UACGUAGGGGGCGAGCGUUGUCCGGAUUUAUUGGGCGUAAAGAGCUCGUAGGCGGCUUGGCAAGUCGGGUGUGAAACCUCCAGCUCAACCUGGAGACGCCACUCGAUACUGCCAUGGCUAGAGUCCGGUAGGGGACCACGGAAUUCCUGGUGUAGCGGUGAAAUGCGCAGAUAUCAGGAGGAACACCGGUGGCGAAGGCGGGUCUCUGGGCCGAUACUGACGCUGAGGCGCGAAAGCGUGGGGAGCAAACAGG
rnacentral:rRNA from 1 species